AGCUCAGACUUUUCGGACUGCAAAUCCGUUUUUGGGAAAAUUUCCCCUGGGCUU
rnacentral:tRNA from 1 species